GUCUACUUUGAAUAAAGCAAGUAAUGGAUGCCCAGGAUUCUUGUGCCGAUGAAGGACGUGCAAGACCGCGAUAGUCGUCGGGUAGCUGUCAAGAAGCUUUGAUCCGGCGGUGUCCGAAUGGGGAAACCCCGCCUUGUGAAAGCAAGGUGACCCCGUCUUUAUGGCGGGGAGGUAACCCGGGGAACUGAAAUAUCUAAGUACCCGGAGGAAAAGAAAUCAAUAGAGAUUCCCUAAGUAGCGACGAGUGAAAAGGGAAUAGCCCAAACUCUAGAUUUAUCUAGGGGGUUGUAGGACUUUAAUGUGGGAUUAUUGAUAGUAGCAGAAGGCGUUGGAAAUGCGCCGCCAAAGAAGGUGAAAGCCCUGUAAGCGAAACUUGAAAUAACCCUAAAAGUAUCCUGAGUACCACGAGAGACGGCAAACUCUUGUGGGAACCUGGGGCGACCACGCUCCAAGGCUAAAUACACAAGAAUACCGAUAGUGAACUAGUACCGUGAGGGAAAGGUGAAAAGAAGGGUUAGACACCCAGUGAAAUAGAACCUGAAAUUACUUGCUAACAAACAGCCAGAGUCCCGGUUUACCGUGGAUGAUGGUGUGCCUAUUGAAGAAUGAACCGGCGAGUUUUCUAAUACUGCAAGUUUAAGCCUAUUUUAGGUGUAAGCGAAGUGAAAGCAAGCGUUAACAGCGCGUCAGCAGUAUUGGGAAGACCCGAAACCGAGCGAGCUAUCCAUGAGCAGGGUGAGCCCCGAUGAAGAUCGGGAGGAGGCCCGAACCCGUUGCUGUUGCAAAAGCAUGGGAUGAUUUGUGGAUAGAGGUAAUAUGCCAAACGAGCUCGGAGAUAGCUGGUUCUCCCCGAAAUAUAUUUAGGUAUAGCCUCUUGGUUAGACUAUCAGGGGUAGAGCACUGUUUGGGUGCCAGGUGGAAACAUCUGUCAUUCAGGCAAACUCCGAAUACUGGUAGUUCAUACAAGGGAGUCAGCCUUGCCGGGCUAAGCUGGUAAGGCGAGAGGGAAACAACCCAGAUCCUCAUUUAAGGUCUCUAAAUUCAGGCUAAGUUUGAAAGGAAGUCAGUUUGCAUAAACAGCUAGGAGGUCGGCUUAGAAGCAGCCAUCCUUGAAAGAAAGCGUAACAGCUCACUAGUCGAGGAAACUGGCGCCGAAAAUUUAUCGAGGAUUAAGCCUGAUACCGAAGAUAGGAAAUUUUGUCUUUUUGACAAGAUUGGUAGGGGAGCGUCCCCGGGGCAUUGAAGCCUCACUGUAAAGUGGAGUGGAGCGCCGGGGAGUGAGAAUGCCGGUAUGAGUAGCGAGAGUCCGGUGGGAAUCCGGACCGCCGAAUGUCCAAGGUUUCCUCAGCAACGUUCGUCGGCUGAGGGUAAGUCGGUCCUAAGUCAAGUCCCGAGUUUAUCGGGAGUAGGCGAUGGACAACAGGUUGAUAUUCCUGUACCAGGAAGUGAAACGUUUGAAUCUCGGGAGGGACAAAGUUGGAGAAUCCAGACGCAGUGUUGAAGUUACUGACGUUUAAGCAACAAAGCAGUUUUGGUAGGCAAAUCCGCCAGAAUGACGUUGAGUUGUGAUGAAAAAUCUGCCUUUAUGGUGGGUAAUCUGGACGGCUUCAGUUUUCGAGAAAAGCUUCGGAGAUGAGUUUUAUUUUCUGACCGUACCACAAACCGACACAGGUGGACAAGUCGAGUAGACUAAGGCGAGCGAGAGAACGAUGAUUAAGGAACUCGGCAAAUCAGCUGGGCGUAAUUUCGAGAAAUGCCCUUCCCGGUGUAAUAACCGGGAUACAACAAAAGAGUCUCAAGCGACUGUUUAUCAAAAACACAGGUCUAUGCAAAAGCGUAAGCUAAAGUAUAUGGGCUGAGGCCUGCCCAGUGCCGGAAGGUUAAUUGAGAGGGUGACCUUACCCUUACGGGUGAGUAAGCCUUUGAUCGAAGCCCCGGUGAACGGCAGCAAUAACUAUAAUUGUUCUAAGGUAGCGAAGUACCUUGUCGGGUGAGUUCCGACGCGCACGAAAGGUGUAACGACUUGAGGACUGUCUUGAUCAUCGACUCGGCGAAAUUGAAAUGGCUGUGAAGAUGCGGCCUACGUACAGCAGGACAAAAAGACCCCGUGGAGCUUUACUGUAGCUUGACACUGAAAUCUGUUUUGAAAUUGCUUAGUAUAGGAGGGAGCGAGCUUGCUCGCAUCAGUGAAAUACCUCUCUUUUCAUUCCAUGUUUCUAACUAACAUAUGCUGGAAACGCAUAUUGGGACAAUGUCUGGUGGGCAGUUUUGCUGGGGAGGUGGUUUGCUAAAAGGUAACGCAAAUGUACAAAGGUAUCCUUGCUCCGGAUGGAAAUCGGAGUGUAAGUAUAAAGGUAUAAGGAUGCUUGACUGUGAGACAUACAAGUCAAACAGAGGCGAAAGCCGGUCUUAGUGAUCCUCGAGUGCUGUGUGGAAGGCACCGAGCUUAACGGAUAAAAGCUACCCCGGGGAUAACAGAGUGGUCGCGCCCGAGAGUCCAUAUCGCCGGCGCGGUUCGCUACCUCGAUGUCGGCUCAGGGUAUCCUGGGGGCGGAGAAGCUCCCAAGGGUUGGUCUGUUCGCCCAUUAAAACCCUACGUGAGCUGGGUUCAGAACGUCGUAAGACAGUAAAGAAUAAAAUGACCGUUGCUGUCUAUAAAUUCUGCUAUAUGCUGGAAACUCCGUUCCUUAAAAAGGAUGUAGAAUCUUUACCUACUUGAUAAAAGUAAUAAAUAGAGAUAAAGUAUCUUUAUGUCAAGUGAAAAUGGUCAAAGUGCGGACAAUCAGCAGGAAAGCAAUAUCUUGGACGAAUAUUUUCUAGGAUUUGUUGAAGGGGAAGGUUGUUUUUAUGUUGGUUUUUCAAAAAGAAACGAUCUACCCCUAGGGUGGCAAGUGAUAACUGAGUUCCACCUAAGUCAAAAUCCUGGAGGGAAAAAUAUUCUUGAGGCAUUUAAAAGAAGAUUGGGCUGUGGUUAUAUAAAGUCUAAUCAUCCGAAAAAUCCUCGAGAUAAAACCUUGGUUUUAAUUAUUAAAAACCGAAAAGAUCUUCAAGAAAAAUUGAUUCCGUUUUUUAACAAAUACCCCUUAUUGUCAAGCAAAUAUAAAGACUUUAUUGUUUUUAAAAAAACGCUUGACUUAAUAAAGGAUCGAAAACAUUUAACAAUUCAUGGAUUUAAAUCGAUUGUUAAAUUAGUAUUUUCUUUGAAGAAAAAUACUAAAAAACGGUAUUCAAAAGAAGAGAUAUUGCGCUCCUCAGAGACUAUACGCAGAAUCCCGAUAUAGCUUCGGGAAAGAUAUAGUCCGAACUCAUAGGCGACUAUGAGAGCUUGGCAGAAAUGACCAGGCCACUCACCUAAAUGUAAAAUUUGGUGAGAAGUAACAAAAUUGUCGGUCUCUAUCCGCUGUACGCGUUUGGUUCUUGAGGGAAUUUGCUCUCAGUACGAGAGGACCAGAGUGAGGAAGUCCCUAGUGUGCCAGUUGUUGCUGUCAAGCGCAUUGCUGGGUAGCUACACUUUUUAUGGAUAACCGCUGAAAGCAUCUCAAGCGGGAAGCCAGACCCAAGAUAAGGAACCAUAGUCCCGCCCUCGUGGUGGGACGAGAGACCCCAGGGAGAUUACCUGGUAUAUAGGUGGCCAGUAUAAGUGCAGUGAUGCAUUAAGCUUAGCCAUACUAAUCGGUCGAAAAAAGUAGAAUC
rnacentral:rRNA from 1 species